rnacentral:rRNA from 1 species
GAUGAACGCUGGCGGCGUGCCUAAUACAUGCAAGUCGAGCGAACCACUUCGGUGGUGAGCGGCGAACGGGUGAGUAACACGUAGGUUAUCUGCCCAUCAGACGGGGACAACGAUUGGAAACGAUCGCUAAUACCGGAUAGGACGAAAGUUUAAAGGUGCUUCGGCACCACUGAUGGAUGGGCCUGCGGCGCAUUAGCUAGUUGGUAGGGUAAAGGCCUACCAAGGCGACGAUGCGUAGCCGACCUGAGAGGGUGAACGGCCACACUGGGACUGAGACACGGCCCAGACUCCUACGGGAGGCAGCAGUAGGGAAUCUUCGGCAAUGGGCGAAAGCCUGACCGAGCAACGCCGCGUGAAUGAUGAAGGCCUUC